AUUGAACGCUGGCGGCAUGCCUUACACAUGCAAGUCGAACGGCAGCACGGGAGCAAUCCUGGUGGCGAGUGGCGAACGGGUGAGUAAAGUAUCGGAACGUGCCCAGUCGUGGGGGAUAACGUAGCGAAAGUUACGCUAAUACCGCAUACGAUCUAUGGAUGAAAGCGGGGGAUCGCAAGACCUCGCGCGAUUGGAGCGGCCGAUAUCAGAUUAGGUAGUUGGCAGGGUAAAGGCUCACCAAGCCGACGAUCUGUAGCUGGUCUGAGAGGACGACCAGCCACACUGGGACUGAGACACGGCCCAGACUCCUACGGGAGGCAGCAGUGGGGAAUUUUGGACAAUGGGCGAAAGCCUGAUCCAGCCAUGCCGCGUGCAGGAUGAAGGCCUUCGGGUUGUAAGCUGCUUUUGUACGGAACGAAAAGGUUUGGCCUAAUAAGCUGAGCUCAUGACGGUACCGUAAGAAUAAGCACCGGCUAACUACGUGCCAGCCGCCGCAGUAA
rnacentral:rRNA from 1 species